ACAGAAACCUGUACUGGCGGCUCUCAGAAGAUCUGUUGGCUAAGGCUGCCUGCUUUCAAAUCCCCCCCAAGCCCUGGCAUGGACCAGCUCUCUCCAAAGAGUCACCUCCAACACCCAGAGUCUUGGACUUGGCAGUGGAGCUUCCUGUCAAGAGCUGGUCCAAGAGAGGAGGGGAGGAAGGACUGGGAAGGAAGGCAAGAACCCACCACAAAACAAGCUGGAGUUUGCAGCCCAUAGUUAUAUACGAUCCCAGCUGGACUACUUCAAAAGAAAGCAUGAGCAGCAAAUCCUCAGAACCGUGCCUGGAGAGCCUGACCCAGCAGCCCCUCUGACAGCACUGUUUCCUGGGGCAGUGAAGGUCAAGCACAUUUCAGAAUUGUACUGUGCACAAGGUGCUUUGGGAGCCAUUGCUUUGGUGUUCCUGCUGCUGUUAACUGUGAUGGAAAGGUCUGACCCUUCAACCCAGGUCUUGAAGGAUAAAGCAAAUUCCAGGUUUUACGAAAGCUGUGCCCACUGAGUCACCAAGGUUGUGAAUCCCGUAUUGCAGGCUUCCUUCAGAAGCAGACAUUCCAAGUGGGUUACUUGGGGAGAGACUAUUUUGAUGUAAAAUUUAACUAAAACUUGGAUAAUGCAUGUUGGAUUGAAAACAGCAGUGACUGGGAGUAGACAGCUUCAGCAGGGAGCAACAGACACCUCUUAAUGUAUCAAGAGACAGAGAAAAAUUAUUUACUCAGGCUGAAUUUUUUACCCACUGUGGCACUGGUGAAAGCAUACCCAUGCUGACAAAGCCAUAGUGGAGUGAUUUACAGCGCAGUACUUCCAUGAGGAGACCUCAAAAGUGGAGUCCACCACAACCCAAGUAUCAGCCAAACCAGUCAACUGGCAGUAACACCAGCUGGGGUGGAAACUUAUGUAGAUAAAGUACUAUGGCUGGCAAAGAAUUGGGAACCAAAUAAAAUAUUAGGUGAAAGAGGAGCAUCCUGGGAAUAAAAUUGUUUGAAAGAGCCCUUGUUGGCAAACACAGACCAAGGACAAAUGCCAAGCAGGCUCAGUUGAAUAAGCUUUAAACCUUUUAUAGAAAGCUGAAGCACAAAAGCUUAGCCUAA